GAGUUGACAAAAUGUUUUCGAGGAUGUUGCGAAAGCCGAAACGUUUCCCGCUUGCAAUGUUUCAAUAUCUGGCAAAAGUGUAACCUCCCAGAGGAUACCCCCUGAUUUGAAGGAGAAUCAGAAGAAAACCGUUACAUCAUUUCCACCGCUGUCAGAACCUAUUCCGAAUUUGCCGAAAGUUGUUUAUUCGACUGCGAAAGAGGAGCAUCAAACGACGCAGAUCACAGUCUUACCAAACGGCUUGAAAGUCGCGUCUGAAAAUAGCUUACGCAGACACUGGUUUAUUUUGUAUUUACGCCUCAUGCACACCGUCCCAUGUGAAGGAAAUGGUAGAAGUAAUUGUGCACGAGAUGGUCGCCAUGACGAGCGGAUUUUUGGAUAACGAAUUAGCGUUAACGAUAAUAGUAGUGAAGAUGAGGAAGAAGAUCUUGUAUCUGACAAUAUCAGAACUAAAGUAAAAGUACUUUUGAAUAAUAAAAAACAACUAUCUUCUUCACAAGAUGGUAAGUUGAAUAUG